rnacentral:rRNA from 1 species
UCUGUGGAGAGCCGUAAUGGCGAGAAGCAGACGAAUAUGUUAUGACGAAAGUCGGCUGCACCCCGGAACCCGUGAAAAGGGAGUUGAAUAUCCGUACCGAGAUCUGACACAGGUGCCCCUAGCUGAAAAGGCUAAGGCGUGUCGGAAUAAUUUGGCUAAGGGAAUUCGGCAAAUUGGCUCCGUAACUUCGGGAGAAGGAGUGCCUGCCGUGAAGACGGCAGGUCGCAGUGACCAGGGAACUCUAACUGUCUAAUAUCAACAUAGGAGAUCGCAAACCCGUAAGGGCUAGUACGAUCUCUGAAUCCUGCUCAGUGCAGGUACCUGAAACUUCGGUUCAACGGAAAGAAGGGCCUGUAAACAGCGGGGGUAACUAUGACCCUCUUAAGGUAGCGUAGUACCUUGUCGCUUAAUUGGCGACUUGCAUGAAUGGAUCAAUGAGAGUUCUACUGUCCCUAGCCAGAGUCCGGUGAAGCUUACAUUCUAGCGCAGAGUCUAGAGACCUCUAGGGGGAAGUGAAGACCCCGUGGAGCUUUACUGCAGCCUGUCGCUGGGUUGUGAUUUUGGAUGUACAGUGUAGGUAGGAGACGUCGAAGCCGGUGCGCCAGCAUCGGUGGAGUCGCAAUUGGGACACUACCCUUCCAAGAUUACGACCCUCACUCCGUGAGGAGGACCCCGAUAGGUGGGCAGUUUGCCUGGGGCGGGACGCCCUUGAAAAGAUAUCAAGGGCGCGCAAUGGUUAACUCAAGUGGGUCGGAAACCUACUGAAGAGUGCAAGAGCAUAAGUUAGCCUGACGUGAUUCAGCACAGUAGUGGAUCACGAGACGAAAGUCGGUUCUAGCGAACCUUUAUGUCCCGCUUGGUGCGGGCUAAAGAUGACAGAAAAGUUACCCCGGGGAUAAUUGAGUCGUUGCCGGCAAGAGCACAUAUCGACCCGGCAGCUUGCUACCUCGAUGUCGGUUCUUUCCAUCCUGGCUGUGCAGCAGCAGCCAAGGGUGAGGUUGUUCGCCUAUUAAAGGAGAUCGUGAGCUGGGUUUAGACCGUCGUGAGACAGGUCGGUUACUAUCUACUAGAGGUGUAUGUGGUCUGAGGGUAAGUUGCUUUUAGUACGAGAGGAACAGAGCAACGGCGCCACUGGUCGAUCGGUUGUCUGACAAGGCACUGCCGAGCAGCUACGCGCUAAGGAAUAAGAGCUGAAUGCAUCUAAGCUCGAAAUCU